UUGAAAGGGAAACGAUUGAAGUCAGUCGUACCUUCGGGUAAUCAGCCUUUCGGGUGCGAUUCUGUGGAGCGUGAGGAGUUAAACGCCUUCAUGCCUGCAUAUUCGUGCACUUUGGGUGUACUUGCCCGUGUGGUAGGUUAACAUCAAUUUCGGAUGUCAUAAAAUGGCUGGAGGAAUGUAGCUUCGGUCUCGUACUGAAGUGUUAUAGCCUUUGGUAGAUGUGAUGACCGGGAUUGAGGAUUGCAACGAAUACCUUUUGGGCUACCCGCCUGAUCUCUGAAAGUUGCUCUGGUGCCGAAAGCGUGCUUACGGUUAUCAAAGUUGACGUUCAAAAGGUUAGAACGGGUUAAAUUCGUUAAGGAUGUUGACGUA
rnacentral:rRNA from 1 species